AAGAUAGAGAAAGAGCUAUCAAUUUGUCAAUCCUUUCCGUGUCCGGGCCAGGUGAGGUUUCCCGUGUUGAUGGAGCCUUUGUUUGGUU